UAAUGAUUGCACACGUUUACUGAGGAUAAAACAAAGCGUUGACAGAACAGAUGCUGGUUACUGGAGGCUGGAACCACCGCGAAAUAAAGGAUUACAUCGAGCAGGAAGAGGACAACGUUGGUUUCCAGGGUUUUCUUUAGUGGCUACAGUCCUGAAAAACAAGUUCUUUCCACAAAGUCCGGAGGAAAGUUCAAAUACUGAGAGAUUUCCCACAAUGCAGCAGGAAAAAGCUGCCAAAUCAUUGCCGCUCAGGUUCGACUGUAGUGUGGAUCGUUUAAACUGAACGUUUUCACGACGUUUCUGCUCAACCGGGUCAGAUUCAACAGAACAUAUGGAUAUUUAUGGACAUAUGAGUUCAUUUCUACAUCAAUUUAUAAACUAUUUUCCGAGAUAAAUCCUUUAAAUCUGCCCGGCGACCAACUUUUAGCAGCUUUUAGGAAUCUGAGUGUUUGAACAAUUAAAGAUAAAUUUUCCCUGUUUUUUCUCAUCAUGACGAUAAAUUAAACUCUAAAUUAUUGAUUAAAUUAUCUCUGAUUAUUGGGGAGUGGAAAGAUGAAAAAAACUGUUAAAAGUUUACAUGAAAAGUUCCGUCUUUGAGCUUAAACCAGCAAAAAAAAAUUCAAUAAGACAAAGCUGAACACAUGGAAAAGUUUUAAUAUGAAAUAUUCAGUCAUAAAAAUGAAAUAAAAAGACAUUUUUAGUCAUUUGGGAUGAAUUAUAGGUUAUUUGUGAGAAACUGAGGUAUUCUAGACAAGCUUCACAUCAUUUUGGACAUAUUUUAAGUCAUUUUCACAAUUUUUUUUACUUUAGACAGUUUGUAAAUUCGUUUUUCACAAAAUUUUACAUAAUUUUGGACAUUUUUGAAUUCUUUUGGGCAAAUUUUCAGCAAUUUGGGACAGAUUUUGAGUCAUUCUGGAGAAGUUUUGCAUCAUUUUGGACAAAUUUUAAAUCAUUUUCAACAUUUUUUUCUCAAUUACAACAGUUUUUCCACAAUUUUUAUUAUAAUUUUUUUUACGUCAUUUUGGACAUUUUAGAAUCAUUUUGAAUAAAUUUUAGGUCAUUCUGGGAAAGUUUUGCACGUUUUGACUCAUUUUCAAAUUUUUUUUCUCAUUUUAAACUAAUUUCAAGUUAUUCUGGACCAUUUCUAAACCAUUCUUGACAGUUUUUCAGUAAUUCUGGACUAGCUAUGAGUCACUUUUGACAUAUCUCAAGUAAUUUUGCACAUUUUGUGUUUUUUUUUUGUUUGUUUAGUUUGUGUGUAGCUUUGGUCAUUUUAUGUCUCACUCUGGACAUUUAACAUCUCUUUGUGGUGGUUUCGAACAACACCUAGAAAACUUUUAACAUUAGUAAGCAGCUUGAAACUCCAGAACUAUCUGAUAAAAUUUCAGUUUUUCUGGUUUGUCAAAUCUGCUCAAUCAGCGAUUAAAAUUCAACUAAAAUAACUUUGGUUUCAUUUUUAUGACCAAAUAUUUCGUAUUAAAAGCAUUUUCUAUGUUUAGUUUUGUGUUAUUGUGAUAUUUAGCUACAUGGGGUUCAGAAAAUAUCACCAGUUAACUUCUAAAUAUCAGAUUUGUUGUUAAUUUGAGCUCAAAAAUGGAAACUGUCAUGACUUUUUU
ensembl:lncRNA